CUAUCAUAACGCCUAAAAUUAAAUUGCAGUAAACGUCACUGAUGACAUAAUAGGGCUAAAAGAUUUGAGAAAUUCAAGUGUCGUACAGUUGACAUGAUUUGGCGAAUAACAAAAGGGAUGCAUACGUUUUGUAGAUGGACACGUUUAGGAGUGUUGUAUAUGCAUUAUAUAUAUUUUAUCAAUGUUGCAUGAUUAACUAAACUCUUU
rnacentral:lncRNA from 1 species